GUGCUCGCUUUGGCAGCAUAUAUGUGAAAUUGGAACAAAUACAGAGAGGAUUAGCAUGGCCCCUUCACAAGGAUAACAUGCAAAUUUGUGAAGUGUUCCAUAAAAAA